rnacentral:rRNA from 1 species
CGAACGCUGGCGGCGCGCCUAACACAUGCAAGUCGAACGGAGCUGAGAGAAGCUUGCUUUUCUUAGCUUAGUGGCGAACGGGUGAGUAACGCGUGAGUAACCUGCCCUGGAGUGGGGGACAACAGUUGGAAACGACUGCUAAUACCGCAUAAGCCCACGAUCCGGCCUCGGAUUGAGGGAAAAGGAUUUAUUCGCUUCAGGAUGGACUCGCGUCCAAUUAGCUAGUUGGUGAGGUAACGGCCCACCAAGGCGACGAUUGGUAGCCGGACUGAGAGGUUGAACGGCCACAUUGGGACUGAGACACGGCCCAGACUCCUACGGGAGGCAGCAGUGGGGGAUAUUGCACAAUGGGGGAAACCCUGAUGCAGCGACGCCGCGUGGAGGAAGAAGGUUUUCGGAUUGUAAACUCCUGUCGUUAGGGACGAUAAUGACGGUACCUAACAAGAAAGCACCGGCUAACUACGUG